UGCUGUUUAGUUGUGCUGUUGUGCUGAUUGCUAGCUUAGCUUUGGUUACUGAGAGUUCAAGAGUUGCAGAAAGUUAUUGACUGUUUUCAGAGUUGCAGAGAGUUGCAGAGAGUUGCAGAGAGUUAUUGACUGUUUUUAAGAGUUGCAGAGAGUUGCAGAGAGUUGCAGAGAGUAAGUUGAUCUGCUUAAGAAGGCUGAAGUCAAGUAGUUUUUAAAUUAAAGCUACAAUGGAAUGAAACAGAUCUGCAUAAUUGGGAACAUAAUUGAACGCGGAAUAGGAAAGCUAUGGCUUAAUGAAAUUUCUAUAUAACAUUUUUGACACUUCCGUAGGUAUGUAACAUAAUUUUGUGGACAAUUCUCAAUACUCUUCCAUUGGGUGUUGCCAAAAUUUGAAGAGAAUCCAUAGUGAAUUAUGUAAGGAGUUGAUAAAGAAGAAAAAGUUUUUUUUAUUGAACACCUAGUGCAAACGUAUAGAUGUAUUUUGAUUUUAGUCCAAUGCAAAACAUAUAGUACAGGUGACCUUGCCUAAGUCGAACUUGGAUAAGUCAAAAAUUGCUAUGGUUGAACGUCUACACGUAGCCCAUCCUGUUUUGUCCCAUUAUUUUAUAACCCUCCUAAAUCAAAAUUUGUCUAAGUCAAAGCUAUUUUAUGGGUCCCAAAAGAUUUGAGUUAGGCCAUUAAUUUUUUUUUACAUGUUUA